rnacentral:tRNA from 2 species
CGCGGGAUGGAGCAGUGGUAGCUCGUCGGGCUCAUAACCCGAAGGUCAUAGGUUCGAGUCCUAUUCCCGCAA